UACGAAGGGGGCUAGCGUUGCUCGGAAUCACUGGGCGUAAAGGGUGCGUAGGCGGGUCUUUAAGUCAGGGGUGAAAUCCUGGAGCUCAACUCCAGAACUGCCUUUGAUACUGAGGAUCUUGAGUACGGGAGAGGUGAGUGGAACUGCGAGUGUAGAGGUGAAAUUCGUAGAUAUUCGCAAGAACACCAGUGGCGAAGGCGGCUUACUGGUCCGGUUCUGACGCUGAGGCGCGAAAGCGUGGGGAGCAAACAGG
rnacentral:rRNA from 1 species